CUGGUGACCCUGCAAAUAGUCUGUCCUCUUUUCCUUUGUGGACAUCAAUCGAGCACCUUUGGAGAUCUUUGACCCUACUCUGUCUGUGACGUCCUGGGUGAAAGCUGGUCAUCGUUUGUCAACAUCAUGGGUGACGGGGAGGAAAGCCCAGGAGGAUCAACUCAAACCUCUGUGGUCAAUUCUUUAAGAUUUAUCUGGUGACACUGCAAAGAGUCUGUCCUCUUUUCCUUUGACAUCAAUGGACCACCUUUGGAGAUCUUUGACCCUACUCUGUCUGUGACGUCCUGGGUGAAAGGUGGUCAUCGUUUGUCAACAUCAUGGGUGACGGCGAGGAAAGCCCAGGAGGGUCAACCCAAACCUCUGUGGUCAAUUUUUUAAGGUAGUUAGUACAACAAAGCACUGGACAGCUUCCAAACGAUGAUGGCGCUUGAUGAAGAAGUCACAGGGUUAUCCAUCAUGACAGCAGUUCAACCUAAGGUGGGACAUGAAUGUCACUACAAAGCUUCACGGCUAUCCAUCCAAUAGCUAUUGAGAUACCUCACUCAAUAACAAAUAACUUGGCGAUCCACAUUAUAGUUGCGGAGAUAAUACAGUCCGGACCAGAGUAGUGGAGCGGUAUCCACAUUCGGCCUGGUGACAGAUAUCUAGCUGAAGUUUAAGUCUGUCACAUUCUCACCGUCUCACUCUCUCUUUCUCCUCUUCUUUGACUCUUUUAAACAAUAUUCCCCAAUCGUGAGGGACCGGCUGAUGCGAUGGGAAGGUGUGGGGACGUCAUUUGAUGCUGGCAGCGAGCCACAUCAUCAUCAACAACAACCACAACAACAACAACAUACGAGUCAUGUGAGCCGCGGUGCAGUUUCCCACUCGGCUUCCUGAAACCGGCGCAUGGAAGGAGAUGAGCGCACAAGAGCAAAAACAGAGAAGAGAGAGAGAGAGAUUUAACAGCUUGUGGAGGUGACCUGUGACAAAGUGCUGCGAACUUGUGAAUGCACUUCAUCAGGAAGUGGACAUCGAUUUGAACUGAAUUAUUAUACACAGUUUUUUUUUUUUUUUCAGUUUCCCCCGGUGUAAAACUGUUCUCAUUUUUCUAUGAGUUCUUUGAGUCAAUGUUCCACCACUCCACAACUAAUGGGCUUGUACUGCCAGCAGGCAGCUAGCACAGGCAGAUAGCUGAGGCUGAGGAUUUUUGUGACAUUCUGGCUGAUUGAUUUUUGAUCUCCAUGUUAUUUAAAGUUAAAUAAAUACUCCAUGUUAUUGCAAAA